rnacentral:tRNA from 1 species
GGAUCUGUUGUGUAAUGGUAGCACGUCUGACUCCAGAUCAGAAGGGUUGCGUGUUCGAUUCACGUCAGGUUCA